AACCUUCCUUCAAGGCGGGGAAUAGCCCAGAGUAAAUUUGGAUUACUACCCAUAAUAUAUUUGAUAAGGCAUCUUUAUUAAUUAUUAAAAGCUUCGGCACUUGAUGAUGGGUGUGCGGCUGAUUAGAUAGUUGGGCGGGGUAACGGCCCACCAAGUCUACGAUCAGUAGCUGAUGUGAGAGCAUGAUCAGCCACACGGGCACUGAGACACGGGCCCGACUCCUACGGGAGGCAGCAGUAAGGAAUAUUGGACAAUGGACGAAAGUCUGAUCCAGCCAUGCCGCGUGAAGGAUUAAGGUCCUCUGGAUUGUAAACUUCUUUUAUAUGGGACGAAAAAAGGGCAUUCUUGUUCACUUGACGGUACCAUAUGAAUAAGCACCGGCUAACUCCGUG
rnacentral:rRNA from 1 species